UGGGGAAUAUUGGACAAUGGGCGCAAGCCUGAUCCAGCCAUGCCGCGUGAGUGAUGAAGGCCCUAGGGUUGUAAAGCUCUUUCACCGGUGAAGAUAAUGACGGUAACCGGAGAAGAAGCCCCGGCUAACUUCGUGCCAGCAGCCGCGGUAAUACGAAGGGGGCUAGCGUUGUUCGGAUUUACUGGGCGUAAAGCGCACGUAGGCGGACUUUUAAGUCAGGGGUGAAAUCCCGGGGCUCAACCCCGGAACUGCCUUUGAUACUGGAAGUCUUGAGGAUGGUAGAGGGGAGUGGAAAUCCGAGUGUAGAGGUGAAAUUCGUAGAUAUUCGGAGGAACACCAGUGGCGAAGGCGGCUCACUGGCUCGAUACUGACGCUGAGGUGCGAAAGCGUGGGGAGCAAACAGG
rnacentral:rRNA from 1 species